CCCUAAAAGCACACAAAAAAAUGUCAAAGGAAUCAACCUCAUGACAGACUUGACAGCAUUAAUUCCACAUAUAAGAAAUACACCAUUGUUCAGAUUUUGCCUCAUGACGCUGACUCUGGUGUUAUGGCUGAAGGUGCGUCUAUGGUCACCACUGUCACCCACACGCUGCCCUUUGGUCGGUCUUCGCUGCCGUUUCAGUGUUAUCAGUGCGGGAGGUUGUCAGAUAUCACAACAAUUUGAAAAGAUGAGACUUUGUGUAAAAAAAAACAAAAAAAAACUUGCAGUCUCUGUGCUUCCUGUUUUGACUUCUUUCCCUCUGCCAGCGCUGAUGCUGAGGUUCAGGAGAAGCCUGCAGUGAGUCCUGCGUGCCUCGGUACGCCACCAUGAUGUCUCAAUUUGCGCGUGCAACAACCAAUGCGGCCACUUUAAACUACGCUUUAGAGGUUCACUUUUUGUUGAAGCAACAAUAAAAAUGAGAAAAUGCUUUAAACGAUAUUGAAUUGAAUAUCUGGGACCAGGUGGAAAAAUAUAUUGCAUACCUCCAAAGUAAGAAGUAAAUACCCUACACUGACAAAAGCUGCUUUUUUUUUUAAAAAAAAAAAGGUUGGACAGUAGACGGAGGUGCAGAAAAGCUCAAAUGCUUUAAUUUCCCAUGUUUCCAUGUAGAUUGCUCCAAAAGUGUGCCCUCUAUAUUUUAUCAGAUAAGUGUGAUUACAAAUGUACUUCCUGCCCCUUUAAAGCGAGCCUGUGCUUCCACCACAUGAAGCGUCUAACACUCUUGGACCAGCAGGUUUGUGUGAAUGAGGAAUGAUGUUUUCGUUUUUUUGUUGUUGUUUGUUGUUUUCUGUGCAGCUUGGAAUCCAAAGCUUGAGCUACUUAAAGAUUCAGCAGUUAUUAAAAAA